UGCGUGGGGGGCGGGGCUCUCACGGCCGUUUCAGCAUGGCCGCCGGCGCCGCGGCUGCUUUGGCGUUCUUGAACCAAGAGAGCCGAGCCAGGGCUCGGGGCCUCGGGGGCCUGAGGGUUCCGGCUCCGGUCACAAUGGAUAGUUUCUUCUUCGGUAUUGAACACGGGAAUGGAAGAGUGGUACGGGGUGGGUGAGGCGUCGGGCUGAGGAACGCGGCUGGGCGACGUGGGUGUGGGCCGAGGGCGCCUCGCUUUCCCUAACCCUUCGCGGCCUGUACGGGCCGAGAGACGCCGGUCCACGUGUUCUAGGUUGUGAGCUCUCCAGCCACACCCGCUCCUUUACUUUCAAGGUUGAGGAAGAGGAUGAUACAGAACAUGUGCUGGCUUUGAACAUG
rnacentral:lncRNA from 1 species